rnacentral:rRNA from 1 species
CACACCGUAAACGAUGGAUACUAGGUGURGGGCAAAAARGCUCUGUGCSGUCGCAAACGCAAUARGUAUCCCACCUGGGGAGUACGACCGCAAGGUUGAAACUCAARGGAAUUGACGGGGGCCCGCACAAGCAGUGGAGUAUGUGGUUUAAUUCGAAGCAACGCGAAGAACCUUACCAGGGCUUGACAUAURUAGGAAUACUUAAGAGAUUAAGUAGCUCUUCGGAGCCUAUAUACAGGUGGUGCAUGGUUGUCGUCAGCUCGUGUCGUGAGAUGUUGGGUUAAGUCCCGCAACGAGCGCAACCCUUAUUACUAGUUGCCAGCACGUAAAGGUGGGAACUCUAGUGAGACUGCCGUUGAUAAAACGGAGGAAGGUGGGGACGACGUCAAAUCAUCAUGCCCUUUAUGUCCUGGGCUACACACGUACUACAAUGGCCGUUACAGAGAGAAGCGAGACAGUGAUGUGGAGCGAAACUUAAAAAAGCGGUCUCAGUUCGGAUUGAAGGCUGAAAUUCGCCUUCAUGAAGCCGGAAUUGCUAGUAAUGGCAGGUCAGCAUACUGCCGUGAAUACGUUCCCGGGCCUUGUACACACCGCCCGUCACACCAUGAGAGUUGGAAAUACCCGAAGCCUGUGAGCUAACCGCAAGGAGGCAGCAGUCGAAGGUAGAGUCAAUGAUUGGGGUGAAGUCGUAACAAGGUAACCGUAA